GAAACAGGCACCUAUGACUGAAAGCCCAGUGAUAUACAGUACUGUGAUUCAUAAAAAGAAAAAGCCUUCAUCUGCAUCGGAUCAUGAAAAUGAUGUGAUCUACAGCAAUGUAACCACAACUACCAAAAAGAAAACUCUCUCUCAGGCAGUCGGAGAUGAUGAGGUGAUCUACAGCUCUGU